rnacentral:misc_RNA from 1 species
CUUCCCGUUGUAACUAAAAAUAAAAAGGUAUAAAAUAAUAGCUUAGCCUAUCCUUCCAAGCCACCAUUGACCUGCCCACUUCUCUAAGUUCACAUUUUUAAAUCAAAUACAGGCUCGAGUCAUGUAUAAUUUGAACAAGAAAGUAAUUGAAAUAAGAUUGCUAGCAUACAGAGCCAUUAGAUAAUACAACAAUGAUACACAAACAAAAAGUAGGAAGAUAUAAAGAAUAAAAGGUAUCCUUGCAAACAAUUUGACCAAGAAAACUGGCUUCCCAUGGCACCUUGUUUAUCCAUGGAUUCUUGUUUCCUCUGAUAUUCCACCUUAAAGAUAAACUUAGUAGAUCCACAAUGCCAGUUGAUGAAGCAGUUUCAAAUAAGCCUAAGCUCGUACUCACCAGCCAUAGUUAUAUAUCUCACCCAUGGAAGAGCCUGGUAGCCACUUUUCUCAAUAAUCUUCAGGUAUCGAACCUGUAUUCCUGAAACAGUAAAAUAUGG